AUGUCCGGACGAGGCAAACAAGGCGGUAAGGCUCGCGCGAAGGCUAAGACCCGGUCUUCGCGGGCCGGGCUUCAGUUCCCCGUGGGCCGAGUGCACCGCCUGCUCCGUAAAGGCAAUUACGCCGAGCGGGUCGGGGCCGGCGCGCCGGUGUACCUGGCGGCGGUGCUGGAGUACCUGACGGCCGAGAUCCUGGAGCUGGCGGGCAAUGCGGCCCGCGACAACAAGAAGACGCGCAUCAUUCCGCGCCACCUGCAGCUGGCCAUCCGCAACGACGAGGAGCUCAACAAGCUGCUGGGUAAAGUCACCAUCGCGCAGGGCGGCGUCCUGCCCAACAUCCAGGCCGUGCUGCUGCCUAAGAAGACCGAAAGCCAUCAUAAGACCAAAUAAGUAACAAGAUCCAGCAAUCACUUCACUUAUCCAGUCCUGGGUUCCAGUUUUGUACCAUAAUGUGAAGGCUUCAAAGUAAAUAGUUGAGGCCCCAAAAGAGAAGAGAAUGAGGCUUUAAAGAAAACAUGGAAGAGAUAUUCAGUGCAGACAUUUAUGGGCUACAUAUGUAACAUGAAUGCGCUUGAGCCUCUGCACUCAAUAAAGCCAUUUGUGUGGCCACAUACUGUUGGGAGAAGUUGCCUCCAUAAAGGAU